rnacentral:rRNA from 1 species
CAUGUUGGUUCAAGCCUGUAGUCGUGCCUGGUAGGUAAAUCCGCCGGGCUUAGAUGAGGGGUGAUAACGAGUCUGCUUGCAGACGAAGUGAGUGAUACCCUGCUUCCAGGAAAAGCCACUAAGCUUCAGCUACACACGACCGUACCGCAAACCGACACUGGUGCGCGAGAUGAGUAUUCUAAGGCGCUUGAGAGAACUCAGGAGAAGGAACUCGGCAAAUUGACACCGUAACUUCGGAGGAAGGUGUGCCUUUAGUAGGUGAACCAUUUACUUGACGAGCCCAAUGAGGUUGCAAAAAAUCGGUGGCUGCGACUGUUUAUUAAAAACACAGCACUCUGCAAACACGAAAGUGGACGUAUAGGGUGUGACGCCUGCCCGGUGCUGGAAGAUUAAAUGAUGGAGUGCAAGCUCUUGAUUGAAGUCCCAGUAAACGGCGGCCGUAACUAUAACGGUCCUAAGGUAGCGAAAUUCCUUGUCGGGUAAGUUCCGACCUGCACGAAUGGCGUAACGAUGGCCACACUGUCUCCUCCUGAGACUCAGCGAAGUUGAAAUGUUUGUGAUGAUGCAAUCUCCCCGCGGAAAGACGGAAAGACCCCAUGAACCUUUACUGUAGCUUUGUAUUGGACUUUGAACAGAUCUGUGUAGGAUAGGUGGGAGGCUUUGAAGCGGUGCCGCUAGGUAUCGUGGAGCCAACGUUGAAAUACCACCCUGGUGUGUUUGAGGUUCUAACCUUGGUCCAUUAUCUGGAUUGGGGACAGUGCAUGGUAGGCAGUUCGACUGGGGCGGUCUCCUCCCAAAGCGUAACGGAGGAGUUCGAAGGUACGCUAGUUACGGUCGGACAUCGUGACGAUAGUGCAAUGGCAUAAGCGUGCUUAACUGCGAGACUGACAAGUCGAGCAGAUGCGAAAGCAGGACAUAGUGAUCCGGUGGUUCUGUAUGGAAGGGCCAUCGCUCAACGGAUAAAAGGUACUCUGGGGAUAACAGGCUGAUACCGCCCAAGAGUUCAUAUCGACGGCGGUGUUUGGCACCUCGAUGUCGGCUCAUCUCAUCCUGGGGCUGUAGCCGGUCCCAAGGGUAUGGCUGUUCGCCAUUUAUAGAGGUACGUGAGCUGGGUUUAAAACGUCGUGAGACAGUUUGGUCCCUAUCUUCCAUGGGCGCUGCAGAUUUGAGGAAGCCUGCUCCUAGUACGAGAGGACCGGAGUGGACACACCUCUGGUGUAUCGGUUGUCACGCCAGUGGCAUUGCCGAGUAGCUAAGUGUGGAAGAGAUAACCGCUGAAAGCAUCUAAGCGGGAAACUCGUUUCAAGAUGAGAUCUGCCGGGGCCUUGAGCCCCCUAAAGAGUCGUUCAAGACUAGGACGUUGAUAGGUCAGGUGUGGAAGCGCAGUAAUGCGUUAAGCUAACUGAUACUAAUUGCUCGUGCGGUUUGACCG